rnacentral:rRNA from 1 species
UGGGGAAUUUUGGACAAUGGGCGAAAGCCUGAUCCAGCAAUGCCGCGUGUGUGAAGAAGGCCUUCGGGUUGUAAAGCACUUUUGUCCGGAAAGAAAUCCUUGGCUCUAAUACAGUCGGGGGAUGACGGUACCGGAAGAAUAAGCACCGGCUAACUACGUGCCAGCAGCCGCGGUAAUACGUAGGGUGCAAGCGUUAAUCGGAAUUACUGGGCGUAAAGCGUGCGCAGGCGGUUUGCUAAGACCGAUGUGAAAUCCCCGGGCUCAACCUGGGAACUGCAUUGGUGACUGGCAGGCUAGAGUAUGGCAGAGGGGGGUAGAAUUCCACGUGUAGCAGUGAAAUGCGUAGAGAUGUGGAGGAAUACCGAUGGCGAAGGCAGCCCCCUGGGCCAAUACUGACGCUCAUGCACGAAAGCGUGGGGAGCAAACAGGAUUAGAUACCCUGGUAGUCCACGCCCUAAAACGAUGUCAACUAGUUGUUGGGGAUUCAUUUCCUUAGUAACGUAGCUAACGCGUGAAGUUGACCGCCUGGGGAGUACGGUCGCAAGAUUAAAACUUAAAUGAAUUGACGGGGUCAUAGCUGUUUCC